rnacentral:rRNA from 1 species
UACGUAGGGUGCAAGCGUUGUCCGGAAUUAUUGGGCGUAAAGAGCUCGUAGGCGGUCUGUCGCGUCUGCUGUGAAAACUCAGGGCUUAACCCUGAGCUUGCAGUGGGUACGGGCAAACUAGAGUGCGGUAGGGGAGACUGGAAUUCCUGGUGUAGCGGUGAAAUGCGCAGAUAUCAGGAGGAACACCGGUGGCGAAGGCGGGUCUCUGGGCCGUAACUGACGCUGAGGAGCGAAAGCAUGGGGAGCGAACAGG